ensembl:snoRNA
AUCCAAGGUGAUUCCCUCUCCAAUGGGCGAACUUGUGCCCCUUUCAGGAAAGUAGCAACUUGGAAGAAAAAAUGCUGGCAUGCAUAAGGUCUCUGGGAGACGGGAUUGUUUCCUUUAUCUUCCUUUGGAUGCCUACAGAU